GGGAAGACUUAGAGCCCCUCGGAUUGCUGUGUUAAUAGCAAUGCCUUUGGCCGGGCAUGGCGGUUAGUGAAUC
rnacentral:ncRNA from 1 species